rnacentral:piRNA from 1 species
UAAGUUUGAGUGCUAGCUCCUUUCUCUUA